rnacentral:rRNA from 1 species
CCUACGGGAGGCAGCAGUAGGGAAUAUUGCUCAAUGGGGGAAACCCUGAAGCAGCAACGCCGCGUGGAGGAUGAAGGUUUUAGGAUUGUAAACUCCUUUUGUUAGAGAAGAUUAUGACGGUAUCUAACGAAUAAGCACCGGCUAACUCCGUGCCAGCAGCCGCGGUAAUACGGAGGGUGCAAGCGUUACUCGGAAUCACUGGGCGUAAAGAGUGCGUAGGCGGGGUAAUAAGUCAGAUGUGAAAUCCUGUAGCUUAACUACAGAACUGCAUUUGAAACUGUUACUCUGGAGUGUGGGAGAGGUAUGUGGAAUGCUUGGUGUAGGGGUAAAAUGCGUAGAGAUCAAGAAGAAUACUGAUUGCGAAGGCGACCUGCUGGAACAUUACUGACGCUGAUGCACGAAAGCGUGGGGAGCAAACAGGAUUAGAUACCCGUGUAGUC